rnacentral:rRNA from 1 species
GAUGAACGCUGGCGGCGUGCUUAACACAUGCAAGUCGAACGGAAAGGCCCAAGCUUGCUUGGGUACUCGAGUGGCGAACGGGUGAGUAACACGUGGGUGAUCUGCCCUGCACUUCGGGAUAAGCCUGGGAAACUGGGUCUAAUACCGGAUAGGACGAUGGUUUGGAUGCCAUUGUGGAAAGUUUUUUCGGUGUGGAAUGAGCUCGCGGCCUAUCAGCUUGUUGGUGGGGUAAUGGCCUACCAAGGCGUCGACGGGUAGCCGGCCUGAGAGGGUGUACGGCCACAUUGGGACUGAGAUACGGCCCAGACUCCUACGGGAGGCAGCAAUGGGGAAUAUUGCACAAUGGGCGCAAGCCUGAUGCAGCGACGCCGCGUGGGGGAUGACGGCCUUCGGGUUGUAAACUCCUUUCGCUAGGGACGAAGCGUUUUUGUGACGGUACCUGGAGAAGAAGCACCGGCUAACUACGUG